UACGAAGGGGGGCUAGCGUUGCUCGGAAUCACUGGGCGUAAAGCGCACGUAGGCGGAUCUUUAAGUCAGGGGUGAAAUCCUGGAGCUCAACUCCAGAACUGCCUUUGAUACUGGGGAUCUCGAGUCCGGAAGAGGUGAGUGGAACUCCGAGUGUAGAGGUGAAAAUUCGUAGAUAUUCGGAAGAACACCAGUGGCGAAGGCGGCUCACUGGUCCGGUACUGACGCUGAGGUGCGAAAGCGUGGGGAGCAAACAGG
rnacentral:rRNA from 1 species